GUGUUUUGGGCAGCAUAAUUGAGUGUAUUUAUUGCAAGACUGAGGGAAAAUCUGCAAGCAAAAUCUGCAAGAUGAUGAUGAAAUGUGCUUACUUACUAUUAGCAAAGUUUAGUUAAGACAGUAAGACAUGAGGAAUGUAAAAUAAACCAAAAGUUUAUAAAUGAGCCUUCUCAACAUUCUGCUAGGGGCUCCUUAUGAGGUAUAUUGCUUUACCUAGAGCCCCAUAAAG
rnacentral:lncRNA from 1 species